UACGAAGGGGGCUAGCGUUGCUCGGAAUCACUGGGCGUAAAGGGCGCGUAGGCGGCCAUUCAAGUCGGAGGUGAAAGCCCAGGGCUCAACCCUGGAAUUGCCUUCGAUACUGUUUGGCUAGAGACCGGAAGAGGUAAGUGGAACUGCGAGUGUAGAGGUGAAAUUCGUAGAUAUUAGGAAGAACACCGGUGGCGAAGGCGGCCCACUGGUCCGGUACUGACGCUGAGGUGCGAAAGCGUGGGGAGCAAACAGG
rnacentral:rRNA from 1 species